GUGAGGAAUAUUGGUCAAUGGGCGAGAGCCUGAACCAGCCAAGUCGCGUGAAGGAAGAAGGAUCUAUGGUUCGUAAACUUCUUUUGCAGGGGAAUAAAGUGCAGGACGUGUCCUGUUUUGUAUGUACCCUGAGAAUAAGGAUCGGCUAACUCCGUGCCAGCAGCCGCGGUAAUACGGAGGAUCCGAGCGUUAUCCGGAUUGAUGUGGUUUAAAGGGUGCGUAGGGGGUGUGAUAAGUCAGCGGUGAAAGUUUGCAGCUUAACUGUAAAAAUGCCGUUGAAACUGUCGGACUUGAGUGUAAAUGAGGUAGGCGGAAUGCGUGGUGUAGCGGUGAAAUGCAUAGAUAUCACGCAGAACUCCGAUUGCGAAGGCAGCUUACUAAGCUACAACUGACACUGAAGCACGAAAGCGUGGGGAUCAAACAGGAUUAGAUACCCGAGUAGUCC
rnacentral:rRNA from 1 species